CAAGGAAAUAUAAUAAUAACUUAUUUAUUAUUGCCUCUAGGGCAUAUUUCCAACACAAGGCAGUAGGCUCCCAUACCAACUAACGGAAACACACAUUGCUUGGGGGCAACAAGGCAGACGACUCCGAUACCAACUUGUGACACCCUCAAUUUGAUCGUACACUCAUCAUACACGCAAACAUGUAUGAUCAAGCUCAAGGACUCACUAAUCAAUAUCAAACACAACUCUAGAUACAAAUUUAAACAUAAAGGUAUAUAUUACAAGCCAGGGCCAUGAGGGCUUGAAUACAUCAGUCAGCGGAAGCAACAAUAUCUGAGUGCAGACAUUAAGCAAACAAGUUCUACCUUAAGAAGGCUAGCACAAAAGAUACAUCGAUCGAAAAGGCAAGGCCUCCUCCUGGGCGCCUUCUCACUGCUUCUGGUCGUUAGCAGUCUCCACGUAGUAGUAGGCUCCAUUGGGGUAGUAGCAAUCGUCGACGGUAGCAUGUGGCUCCUAGGAUCCUCCAUCUGAUCGCGGCAAUCAGGUAGAAGAACAUGGGGGAAAGGUAGCAAAAGCGGUUAUGAGUACCCAUCCAAAGUACUUGCGAGACUUACAUCAGGUCUAAACUACAUAUGCAUUGGCAUCAAAUGAAAGGGGUAGUAUCUAUGGACUAAACUGCAGAAUGCUAGAAAAAGGGGGAAGCUAGUAUAGUAACAAGUAUCAUCCUAUAGCAAUAAUCCUAACCCGGAGAUCCUCUCCUUGUCUCCCUGAGAGAGUGGUAGCCGAGUUGUAUCUAUCACUUAUCUGGGUGUAUUUUGUUAAGUAUCCAAGUUGUAUCCAAGUCGCACUGUUAUCGGGACACGACUAUUCGAAUAGUUAAUUCAUCACUACAGGGGUGCACCACAUUUCCCAACAUGCUUGAUAACUUCUGGCCGGAUGCACUUCCUGGGUCAUGACCGGACUCGGGAGAUCAACAUGUCGUAGCCCCACCUAGAGUCAACAGAGAGGCAAUCUCGCCGGACUAAAUCCUAUAUGCGCAGGAGUCUUGGGCCUCGUUGCCCUUUGCACGUGUGCACGUUGCAUGGGCAACCAUGAUCAGUCCUAGCGACCUCCUUUACAAGGCAGGUGCUUACUCGGACCAUUCGGGCGUGCGCCGCUCCACUGCUGACGUCCGAAGAGCUUCGACUGAUACAACGACGCCGAGUACCCAUAACUGUUUCCGCGUGAAGGUUAGUGUGUAUAGGUCAAUCGACCAACUUAGAUCAAAUACCCAAACUCAUUAAGCAUGUUAUUAUGAAAUAACCGCACACAACGACCAGGGACCAGGCCCACCUCUCUCCUAGGCGGUCUCAACCUGCCUUGUCGCUCUUCCACAAAGAUCCACACAAGGGGUCGUCGGGGAAAUGUCCUUUUGGCCCCCAGUCCGUGAAUCACUCGCGGGUACUAUACGAGCCGACUCGACUUUAGUCACCACAAGUAUCAUUGAUAGUAUAUAUAUAUAUAUACCUGUGAUCACNNNNNNNNNNNNNNNNNNNNNNNNNNNNNNNNNNNNNNNNNNNNNNNNNNNNNNUAUAUAUAUAUACCUGUGAUCACCUCCCUUAGGGGAUCAUGCCUCGAUAGUAUAUCGUAGCAGACGGACAAGAAGGUAGGGCCACUGAUGGAAUACUAGCAAACCUAUACUAGGCAUUUAGGAUAACAAGUAGAGUAUCAACAACAGUAGCAAAACAGACUAUGCAGCAGUAUAGGAUCACCGAUAAGCAGUAAUAGCUACACUACUCUAAUGCAAUAAAUAAAGAGAAAAGAGUAGGCGAUAUCGGGAUGAUCAAGGAGGGGGGCGGGAAUGCUCGCCUGGAAGCUCGGUCGAGAUGGAGGGGUCGUCGAUAUCGUAGUCGUACUGGGCGGUAGUGGCGUCAGUCUCGAGGUCUACAGGAGGGAAGGGGGGAGAAACAAUAAAAAUAUAUAGCAAACAAUGCAUCAGGAUGCCUCACAUGGUAAUACAAUGUGUCAGGGUCGAGUUAACGCAGUACUACAUCUCACGGACGAUGCGGGAAAGUACAUGACGAUAUUUCUCGUGUCUCGGGCAUCUACUCCAUAGAUGAACCUAACGUAAAAUGACCAUGUUCAUUAUGCUAGAAGCAUGUGAUAGAUGAACGGACAACAUAUUCAGAUUCGUGGGAAUUUUCUGAGAAACUUUCAUAUAUAAAUUAUUUUCAUCCAAGUUAUAAAAUAUUUUAUAUGAUUUUCAAAGUUUUAACAAUAUUCUGAAAUUCCUGGAUUUCAGUAUUAAUUCGAAAAAUAAAUGCAAAACUGCUAGGGGUACCCAGCUCUUUGUACACACGAGUGUACACAAAGAAUGACAUGUGGACCAGGGGGCCGAGUUGACCAGUCAAAGUUUGACUAGUCAAUAGGGAGUGAGCCCGUGUCAUUCUGUGUUAACUUAACUAACAUGUUUAAUUAGACUAAUUAUGUUAUUGGACUAAUUAAUUUCCAUUUAAUUAAGUUAAUUGAUUAAUUAAUUGCAUCUAUUAUUUAUUUGUUUAUUUGUUUUAUUUAUUUCCUUUGUUUUCGUUUUUUUACCCAUGGAUCCGCCCCUAUGGUUAGUGGCGUGAGGGCGGUUAGUGGGAAUUAGCCUAGUGGUUAUUUAGGCCGACAGUUAGCGUCGAAGGCCUUUGACCACGACGGAUCCUGGCAAAGCCAGCGCCGACGGUCGGCGGUGGAGCGGCGUGGGCGCAGAGAGCGGGGGCUGGUGCGGUGGCAAGCAGCGGCGUGCGGGCAGCAGCACACGGGAGCGGUGGCGAGCUCGGGGUCGGUGCGGUUGGGCGUGACGAAGCUGGGGCAGCGGUGAGCGGGGCUAGGCCAGGGCAACGUGCACAGGCGACGGGAGGCACGGGAGCGCGCGUGCACGGGCGCGUGCGUGUGCGGCGUAGAGGUGCAGGCGUGGCCAAGCGCGCGGGGCGGCAGCAGAGCACAAUGCGACGGGAGGAUGCGAGUGCGGCCGGGCGAAGCGAGUGCGGAAGCGGUGACAGAGCAAGGAGGGAAAGGGAGAGGUUGGGCCUCACCGGCGUCUGCAGGGGGGCUCAGGCGUGAGGCGUGAUGGAGCCGCUGGGGAGGAGGACGGCGACGAGGGCGACGGGGUCGGGGCGGCUCGGCGACGGAGCGAUGCGGCUGUGGGCGAGCUCGAGCUUGUGAGGUAAGGGACUAGGGGCGCGAGGGGGGAGGUGACCUAUGGUUGGUGGGGAGAUCGUCAGUGAUAAUUUAGGGGUUGGCGGUCGUCGGAUGGCCGAAACACGCCAUUGUUGACGAGGAAUGGCUGCCACGAUCCUCCCCCGUUCCUCUAGCACGGGGAGGGGGAUGAGAG
rnacentral:lncRNA from 1 species